UACGAAGGGGGCUAGCGUUGCUCGGAAUCACUGGGCGUAAAGCGCACGUAGGCGGCUUCUUAAGUCAGGGGUGAAAUCCUGGAGCUCAACUCCAGAACUGCCUUUGAUACUGAGUAGCUUGAGUCCGGGAGAGGUGAGUGGAACUGCGAGUGUAGAGGUGAAAUUCGUAGAUAUUCGCAAGAACACCAGUGGCGAAGGCGGCUCACUGGCCCGGUUCUGACGCUGAGGCGCGAAAGCGUGGGUAGCAAACAGG
rnacentral:rRNA from 1 species